UUUAAGGUCUAGCCUGCCCAAUGAGGAUUUUAAUGGCCGCAGUAUUUUGACUGUGCAAAGGUAGCAUAAUUAUUAGUUUUUUAAUUGAAAGCUUGUAUGAAGGGUUGGACGAGAUAAAAUCUGUCUUUAUUUAAAUUAAAAUAUAAUUUAACUUUUAAGUAAAAAGGCUUAAAUGUUUAUAAAAGACGAGAAGACCCUAUAGAUCUUUAUUUAAUUAAAAUUUUAAUAAUUUAGGAUUAUUUUAAUUUAAAGUUUUAAUUAAAUUUUAUUGGGGUAAUAUAAAGAUUAAAUAAAUUCUUUUUAUUUAUAACAUUGAUUUAUGAAUAUAUGAUCCAUUAAUAUUGAUUAUAAGAUUAAGUUACCUUAGGGAUAACAGCGUAAUUUUUUUGGAGAGCUCAUAUCGAUAAAAAAGUUUGCGACCUCGAUGUUGGAUUAAAAAUUAGCUUGGGUGCAGAAGCUCAAGAUUUUGGUCUGUUCGACCAUUAAAUUUUUACAUGAUCUGAGUUCAGACCGGCGUAAGCCAGGUCGGUUUCUAUCUUUAUAAAGAUAAAAUGUUUUAGUACGAAAGGACCAGACAUUUAAUAUAAUUAUAUUUUAUUUUU
rnacentral:rRNA from 1 species